UACGAAGGGGGCUAGCGUUGCUCGGAAUCACUGGGCGUAAAGGGUGCGUAGGCGGGUCUUUAAGUCAGGGGUGAAAUCCUGGAGCUCAACUCCAGAACUGCCUUUGAUACUGAAGAUCUUGAGUUCGGGAGAGGUGAGUGGAACUGCGAGUGUAGAGGUGAAAUUCGUAGAUAUUCGCAAGAACACCAGUGGCGAAGGCGGACUCACUG
rnacentral:rRNA from 1 species